GGAGAGGUAGCGAAGUCCGGCCGUAACGCGCUCGACUCGAAAUCGAGUUACGGGUUCAUAGCCCGUACGUGGGUUCGAAUCCCACCCUCUCCGCCA
rnacentral:tRNA from 3 species